CCAUUUUCCUUUUCUAUACCAGGCUAACCAUGCGGGACACGCCAUUUAUGUAACAGCCCCUUGAGGAACAGCGCCUGGAUUGUGACAAGGUUGUGGGAGCUUUUUUACAACUCUGCGCAAUGCAAGAGGAUGCUCUCGCACCCCCUUAGGCACCCCCACGGGAGUCUUGUUUUGCUACCCUUUAACCUCGUUUCCUCCUACGAUCGUUUCCACCCGGGCACCACUAUGAGGCAGGGUAUCAUGCCCGGGAAAAAAAUUUCUAUCAAAUGAUGAUUAAUUUAUAUGUCAAGAUAAAUGUCAAGAUUUUUUAACCACUUAUUAAUCUGCGUGUCAUGUGUUUAUCACAAAUACCAACUAUCUUUAUUUUCCAACAAAGGAACCAAGGCCUUCUGAAAAUCCUAUUUUGAAAAUUGUUUUAUUUGGAUUCAUGUCAAAAUAUUUAAAAGAUCCAUUUUGUAUAAUUUAAAUAAUAAUUGUGAAAUUCAACUUGAUAUAGCCUAGAUUUUAGUCCUACUCAUAAUAUUCUGUAUGUAUAAAUGAUUAUUUUUUCAAUGAGGUUUAUAGGCAUAUUAGUCAAAUAUUGUAUAUGUAGCAUUAAACAAUAUAAAAUUUGUUUAUAGUAGGGGUGCACUGGAUAGUACUUUUUUAUAUCUGGCCGGAGCCGAAUACCUAAGUGUCUUGUAAAUAGCUUGUAUUGCUGAGCAUUUUACGAAACUGUUAAUAACAUACCUAUAUUUGUUUGUUUUUUUCUCCUUUUAUAUACCUUAUUGUUUUAAACUCUGUUACUGAUUGAUUUAUAAAAGAUUAACAGUAUAAACAAAAAUUAAUCUGUGUAGCAUGAGCGUGUCUGUAUGUAUGUACAAGGCCACCAACUAUAAAGGCUGUGUGUUGGAGGGUCAAUGUAAAAUAUGUUAGUAAAUAUUUAACUAGUUACUAAUGUAAAUCUCUCAUCUGGCUUGUAUGGUGGUUGGAUGUAUGUGUUCAAGAAUUUCUGACCAACAACUGGUCAUCAGACUUGUAAUUUUAAGUCCAAAGACUGCUUCUGGAUUCAAGGGCAUAAUACUGAUAGCUGUUAGUUAAUAGUUGGAAUCUGAAGCGUUGUAGGUCAUAUAUUUAUUAAUCCAUUUGCGGCAAACGAUAUUUUAUUAACAGCAGGAACAUCUAUUAUACCUACUCAUAGCCAGAGCCUUAAAUGUUGCGAAACAUAGAUUUAAUUGUAGUCUGUAGGCCUUUUAUUGAUAUCUAUGUUUAGAUCUACUGUUAUAUAGAUCUAAGAGAAUUAGGAAAACCAAAAAAACAAAAACAUAUUUGUUUUAUUUUAUUGUGCAACGAACGUUUGUUCAGCGCCCUAAAUGACAUUUCUCUCCAAGUAAACAAACUUAGUCUCAUCAUCUAGUUACCUCUAGACAGUGUCAAUAUUUCUCAACAAUCUGCGUUAAUCCAUUCUGGCUUAAGAAUGGUCAAUGUCUAUCAAUACUUUGUCAUGGAUUAAACAAAUAAGAAGUUGAGCAUGUUGAGUCUCUUGAGUCCUCCCUUUAAAGAUACCCCUGGUCAGUGUCUGUUUGGCUUGUAGUCCAGCCUCCUAAUUGAGACUUAAAGUAAACAAACUUAUUGUCCCGGCCAAAAGUAUAAAAGGUGUGGCAUGUGGUCCAGACCCUUGAUUGACAACCUAUCUCAUAAUAAACAAACUCAUACCAGAUUAACCUUAUAAAGAUUUGGCUUGUAGUCCCGCCCCUAAUAAAAAUUCUUCUCCAAGUAAACAAACUCAGUUCCCUCAUAAGAUGUGACCUCUGGAAAGUGUCAACACGUUGACAUCUGGCUUGAUGUGGUAAGCUGCCUAUCUGUGAACUCAAUGUUAUGGACUAUACAAACAAAAAGAGGUGGGGGUUGCUCAUCUCUACCUCUGGAGAUAUACCCGCACAUCUAGACAGAUUAUCAGCGUGGCGUAGUUAAGGAAUAUUACAUGUUUACUAGACCACUCAAAAGUCAAGACAAGCUUUUAAAAUGUGCAUGACAUCGUUGCUAUGUCUUAUAUUUUUGUGGAAAUAAAUUUUACUAGUGGAGUUUUUGUAGCUGCCAGAGUGGAUCAAGGUGGAUGUGAUAUCUAUUUAUAAACAUGUAUACCAGUAUAUUGUAAUCAGUGAUUUUCAUUUUUUGGUAACAGUUUGUUUCCAUUUAGAUUGCAGUCUUUCUUAUGUGAAAACAAGAUGUCUGCAUAAUCUUAGAGGACAUUUUUAAACUCAUUUAAAUUUAUUAGAUGAAAUAUUUAUAAAACAUACAAUGUAAAUUGUUUUGUAAAAUGAUUAUACAUUUGAGUUCAUAAAAAUGUGUAAUUUUUUAAUGGCAUCAUGUUUCUGCUUAUCUGUAUCUGAUACUGAUGAUGUGUUUUCUAAAUCUAUUACUGCUUCACCAUUGAGGAAAAACUGCACAUGUUUAAACCCAUAUCUGAAGUAACUUUCCAGAAAAAAAAAAGAUGUAUGUUGGACAGUGUCCAAAAUUUCAAAUCAUUUCCUUCAAAAUGUUAUCAAUUUCCUCCAUAACUUCAUAACAUUAUUGAAUUUUUUCCUUCAGAACACAAUUGUAAAUUAUCUUUUUUUUUUUUUUUUUUUUUUUUUUUUGUUAAACCACAAUGAGAGUCUAAUAACUAAUAGUCUAGCAAACAAUUACUUAUAAUUUGCCUUAUUAUUAUACAAUAUUAAGAUUUACUUCUGCAGGGAUGAAAAACUUUUUUUAAAAUACAAUAGACAUGUAUAAUAAUAAAGUACAUUCACACCUGACUCACUCAUAAUUUACAUGUGAAAAGUUUAUAUCAGAUUGUUUCUAUUUAAUGAUUUGAUUGCCAUCAGUGUCUUGUAUCUCUUUUGUGAUGGUAAAGUCACAAAAUGUAGGAAACCCCACUGUGUUUGGUCCAGUAUGUGGGUUAUUAUAUGUAAGUCUAUUGUAAGUCUAUUACUGUUUAAAAAAAUACAAUAGACAUGUAUAAUAAUAUAAAUAAUAAUAAUAAUCUUUAUUGUCGUAUAACUAUAAAAAACCAAAAGUACAUUCACACCUGACUCACUCAUAAUUUACAUGUGAAAAGUUUAUAUCAGAUUGUUUCUAUUUAAUGAUUUGAUUGCCAUCAGUGUCUUGUAUCUCUUUUGUGAUGGUAAAGUCACAAAAUGUAGGAAACCCCACUGUGUUUGGUCCAGUAUGUGGGUUAUUAUAUGUAAGUCUAUUGUAUUUUCUAUAUUAUUUUACAAAUGUAAAAAAAAUAAAAAGAAAUUGUUACACUGUU